UCGCCUGUUUAUCAAAAACAUGGUUUCUUGUUUAUUUAAGAGAUUUGGCCUGCCCACUGAAAAAUUUUGAAGGGCCGCAGUAUUUUGACUGUGCAAAGGUAGCAUAAUCAUUAGUCUUUUAAUUAAGGGCUUGUAUGAAUGGUUGGACGAGGUAAAAGCUGUCUUUAAUUUAAUUAGUUUGAAUUUAGAUUUUAAGUAAAAAGACUUAAAUGUUAUUAAGGGACGAGAAGACCCUAUAGAGUUUAAUAUUUAUAAUUUUAAUUGAGUUAAAAAUUAAUUUUUCGUUAUUAUUAAUAUUUAUUUAAUUGGGGUGAUUAGAAGAUAAAAGAAACUCUUCUUUAAUUUUAAUAUUAUAAUUAGUUUAAUGAUCCAUUUAUAGUGAUUGAAAGAUUAAAUUACCUUAGGGAUAACAGCAUAAUUCUUUUUGAGAGUUCAAAUCGAGAAAAGAGAUUGUGACCUCGAUGUUG
rnacentral:rRNA from 1 species